GGGAUCGUGGCGCAGUUGGCUAGCGCGUAAGUCUCAUAAUCUUAAGGUCGUGAGUUCGAGCCUCACCGAUCCCA
rnacentral:tRNA from 1 species